rnacentral:rRNA from 1 species
CGUAGAGAUGAUCUUAGUUCAGGAUCGAUCCUUGACGGUGUGCGUAAGCGGGACACGUCGAACAUCAACUCGAAGCUUAGUACCUAAUGUUAGUGUCCGACGGGUGAGUAACGGGUGGGUAAUGUGUCGGUACGAAUCUGGUAACUCCGGGUAGCCAAGGGUAAGAAUAGAUGCUUCUUUGAACAUCAUUGUUAAGGCAUAAAAAGUGGGUUCGGCCACCCCUUACAAAUGGGCCCGAGGUGCGUUAGGUAAUUGGUUGGGUAACGGCUCCCCAAGGCAAAGGUGCGUUGCCGACUUGAGAGGGUGAUCGGCCACACUGGGACUGAGACCCGGGCCAGACUUCUUCCGGAGGCAGCCAUCGGGGAUGUUCCGCAAACGACGAAAGUCAGCCGGAGCCACCCCGCCUGAGUGAUGAAGGUCUUCGGAUCUUAAAGCUCUGUUGUUAGGGAAGAACAAGGACCGUUUUAAUAGGGCGGUACCUUGACGGUACCUACCCAGAAAGCCCCGGCUAACUACGUGCCAGCAGCCGCGGUAAUACGUAGGGGGCAAGCGUUGUCCGGAAUUAUUGGGCGUAAAGGGCUCGCAGGCGGUUCGUUAAGUAUGAUGUGAAAGCCCCCGGCUCAACCUGGGAGGGUCAUUGGAAACUGGGGAACUUGAGUGCAGAAGAGGAGAGUGGAAUUCCACUUGUAGGGGUAAAAUGCUAGAUAAUGUGAGGACCACCCGGGGGAAAGGAGACUUUCUGGUACUGUAACGACGUGUGGAGGAAAGCGGAGGGGAAUUUU